rnacentral:rRNA from 1 species
GACGUAGGGCGCGAGCGUUGUCCGGAUUUAUUGGGCGUAAAGAGCUCGUAGGCGGCUUGUCGCGUCGACUGUGAAAACCCGCGGCUCAACUGCGGGCGUGCAGUGGAUACGGGCUGGCUGGAGGUAGGUAGGGGAGAAUGGAAUUCCCGGUGUAGCGGUGAAAUGCGCAGAUAUCGGGAGGAACACCGGUGGCGAAGGCGGUUCUCUGGGCCUUACCUGACGCUGAGGAGCGAAAGCGUGGGGAGCGAACAGG